GACGAACGCUGGCGGCGUGCUUAACACAUGCAAGUCGAACGGAAAGGCCCUGCUUUUGUGGGGUGCUCGAGUGGCGAACGGGUGAGUAACACGUGAGUAACCUGCCCUUGACUUUGGGAUAACUUCAGGAAACUGGGGCUAAUACCGGAUAGGAGCUCCUGCUGCAUGGUGGGGGUUGGAAAGUUUCGGCGGGUGGGGAUGGACUCGCGGCUUAUCAGCUUGUUGGUGGGGUAGUGGCUUACCAAGGCUUUGACGGGUAGCCGGCCUGAGAGGGUGACCGGCCACAUUGGGACUGAGAUACGGCCCAGACUCCUACGGGAGGCAGCAGUGGGGAAUAUUGCACAGUGGGCGGGAGCCUGAUGCAGCAACGCCGCGUGCGGGAUGACGGCCUUCGGGUUGUAAACCGCUUUCGCCUGUGACGAAGCGUGAGUGACGGUAAUGGGUAAAGAAGCACCGGCUAACUACGUG
rnacentral:rRNA from 1 species